CUCAUGAUCCUCUGUAACAUCAAACCAAAAGGAAUUAUUAUACAUUAGAAUUGCUUGACAUGGACCCACAUUUAGUGAACUUAAAAUGUAACAAAAGAUAAAACACGUCCCAGAUAAAUGGAGUCUAUAACAGUCGAUGUAUAAAAGAUGAAACAGAAGCAGUUAAUUUAGGUUUCAGGAAGGUUGUGCUAAACUAAUAGCAGGAAACAAACACUGCACCGGAUGAAUUGUUGGCAUGGAACUCAUGUACUAAGGCCAGAGACUAGGCCACUUUCCAAUCUUUCAAGGGGAGCAAUACACUAUAAUUGUAAUCCAGAUAAAUGGUAAAUGUAAACAGAUUGUCUGAAAAUAUGAAUCAGAAAAGCAAUUAAUUAAAUCCAGGAAGGUUUUCCUAAUCCUAGUAGCAGGAAACAAAGGAUCCACCAGAUGAAUCAUUGGCACAGGAGAACCCAUCCCCCAAGGCUAGAUCCUGGGUACCUUCCAAUCAUUUAAGGGAAUGGAGUGCACUAUAACUAACUCCACUUUCAGAAGUUUUGACCCAGUAUGGCUAUUUGGCUCGCAUACCAACUCCAGCCAAUGGUGGUUUCAAAAGCAUAUUGCAAGUUUGGAAUAUUUAAUUGGUUUCAUGGUUACCUAAGAAGCAUGCAGCAUCAAAAGGAAUAAAGCGUGCUUUAUGAAAUAGUUUAUUUAAAUUUACCCCUUAAGAAUCUAGCUAAGGGAAUUUAUAAAUAAGUGAGUACGCAUAUUAGUAUCUAACUAUCUAUGCAUGAAUGCUCAUGCAUGAACCUAGUCAAUACAAACCUCUAAGAGCAUAAUUUCCAGCCCAAGAUAUAAUCCAGAAUCAGGUAAAAGCAACAAAAUAUGUUAACAAGUCCAUUGACCAAAAUCUAACACAUAUGCUAAUAUGCAUGCUUAUGCAGGAACCUAACCAAUACAAAUCUCAAAAAGCAUAAUUUCCGGCUCAAAAGAUAUCCAGAUUCAGGUAAAAGCAACAAAACAUGUUAAAAAGACCAUUGACCAAAAUCUAACAAAUAAUGAAUCAACAUAAAAUGAUUUUCAAAAAGGAAAGUGGCAACUAGCAACUUAUAUCAAAAUGUAUAUACCAACCAAAAAAUAUCAUUGCCAAAUUGCACAGACAUUUGCUAAUAUUCCAUUCAAUUGAAGGCCAAAAUUUAUUUUAAGUCUCAAAUUCCAUCAAUACCUUGCUUGCCACUCACAAAUAUACAAGCUCUUAGUGCUAACCUAUAAAUAAUGAGAGAGGGAAAAUAUUGCAAGAAAGAAAAAUAAUAAAGAUUAAAGGGGAGGGAGGGAAGGGGGAAGGGGGAAGACAAC
rnacentral:misc_RNA from 1 species